CCUCACUGAGAAGCUAGUUCCCCUCCCGGAGGAGUUGGAUGUCCUCAGUGGGGAGAUGUCGGAUUUAACUCAAGACCAGGAGUGCUCAAGUACUAUUUGAGACGGCCCGGUGGCACACAUUUCCUAGGUGACAAAGGAUCGGAUGGAUAACCAGCGUAGUAUCAUCUCCCCACCUCACAACCCCAUGAAAACUGUUCACACCCCUCUUGUUGGCCAAGAGAACAUGUUGCUGUUUUAAAGCUAUUUUCCUGCAAUUCUACACAUUUUGCUUGGGGCAGAGAUUUAUUUAGCUUUUUUAUAUCUCAUUUCCUGCAAUUCUCCAGUCUUCCAUGUCUUAUGUGUGUUUAUAUGAUACCAGAGGUCGAAGGACGACCUAGUAAAAAAAAAAGAGCCCGUUCUGCUCCUUCACUGAGAAACUCUCCAUUCUUCAGCCCUGGUAUUAUUGAUAGUAUCUCAGUGGUCAUCUGUCCUGUAGAUGUCACUGACUGACUGUUUUUAAAACAUACAAGGCAGGUAUAAACAGUCAGUAAAGGGAUGUAAUAGGAGAGAGUUCAUGUACAUGAGUUCUCAGAUAUCCUAUCAAUCUUUUUUGUUGUAGAGUGGGCCAGUUUAUUGUUUAUUGGAUAGGACAGAGAGGUAAAGGUAGGAAUGUUGAAAGAGCAAUGGGUUGGAUCUGAACCCAUUCUGGUACUGGACCAUCCCAGACCACUGAUUUCUUCUCAAUGUUUGACAAAUCUUUAUGUCUUUCACCCGUCCCUUGGACUGUUCUGUCUUGAGGAGAAUGUGCUAUAUAAUUUUUAUUCUGUAUUUUCUAACAGUAUUUGUUCUGUAUCCAUUCUGCUGUGUGCUUCUAUAUUUAGAUAAGAAUGUAGCAGCAACACAAUUAUUUUUUUAGAAAUGUAUAAUUUGAUUAUA